rnacentral:rRNA from 1 species
AACGAACGCUGGCGGCAUGCCUAACACAUGCAAGUCGAACGAGACCUUCGGGUCUAGUGGCGCACGGGUGCGUAACGCGUGGGAACCUGCCCUUAGGUUCGGAAUAACUCCCCGACAGGGGUGCUAAUACCGGAUAAUGUCUUCGGACCAAAGAUUUAUCGCCUUUGGAUGGGCCCGCGUUGGAUUAGCUAGUUGGUAGGGUAAAAGCCUAUCAAGGCGACGAUCCAUAGCUGGUCUGAGAGGAUGAUCAGCCACACUGGGACUGAGACACGGCCCAGACUCCUACGGAAGGCAGCAGUGGGGAAUAUUGGACUAUGGGCGAAAGCCUGAUACAGCAAUGCCGCGUGAGUGAUGAAGGCCUUAGGGUUGUAAAGCUCUUUUACCCGGGAUGAUAAUGACAGUACCGGGAGAAUAAGCACCGGCUAACUCCGUG